rnacentral:rRNA from 1 species
AGAGUUUGAUCAUGGCUCAGAUUGAACGCUGGCGGCAUGCCUUACACAUGCAAGUCGAACGGCAGCAUGAUCUAGCUUGCUAGAUUGAUGGCGAGUGGCGAACGGGUGAGUAAUACAUCGGAACGUGCCCUGUAGUGGGGGAUAACUAGUCGAAAGAUUAGCUAAUACCGCAUACGACCUGAGGGUGAAAGUGGGGGACCGCAAGGCCUCAUGCUAUAGGAGCGGCCGAUGUCUGAUUAGCUAGUUGGUGAGGUAAAGGCUCACCAAGGCGACGAUCAGUAGCUGGUCUGAGAGGACGAUCAGCCACACUGGGACUGAGACACGGCCCAGACUCCUACGGGAGGCAGCAGUGGGGAAUUUUGGACAAUGGGCGAAAGCCUGAUCCAGCAAUGGCCGCGUGUGUGAAGAAGGCCUUCGGGUUGUAAAGCACUUUUGUCCGGAAAGAAAUGGCUCUGGUUAAUACCUGGGGUCGAUGACGGUACCGGAAGAAUAAGGACCGGCUAACUACGUGCCAGCAGCCGCGGUAAUACGUAGGGUCCAAGCGUUAAUCGGAAUUACUGGGCGUAAAGCGUGCGCAGGCGGUUGUGCAAGACCGAUGUGAAAUCCCCGAGCUUAACUUGGGAAUUGCAUUGGUGACUGCACGGCUAGAGUGUGUCAGAGGGGGGUAGAAUUCCACGUGUAGCAGUGAAAUGCGUAGAGAUGUGGAGGAAUACCGAUGGCGAAGGCAGCCCCCUGGGAUAACACUGACGCUCAUGCACGAAAGCGUGGGGAGCAAACAGGAUUAGAUACCCU